AUACAUACAGGGCUGAGUAUAAAAUACUCAGUGGACACAAGCCAAAGAUACGUACAUGCAUACUAAAGCUGUAAAUUAUCAUGCCUUUUCUCAUGGCGUACAGAGGUUUUAGUAAAAAGUCUGCACCCACUAGUCAUUUAUUUGUUCUAAAGUUCGUCUGAUCAGACUAUGUUCUUUUGUGCUCUACCAUAUCUGCAAUAAUAACUGUGUGCCGAGAAGGUGGCCACCUUCUACGGUCACUGACCGGCCGAUAUGCUAAACCGGCUCACGGUCCUAGACCGGCCGAUACGCUAAAUCGGCUCACGAUCCUAGACCGGCUGAUACGCUAACCGGCUCACGGUCCUAGAUCAGCCGAUACGCUAACCGGCUCACGGUCCCUUGUGUACACUAAUCCUGUCUAACAUCUGGAUAGAACAUGACCCGAAUUCGAUUAACUGCUGGUGCCAGAUAGGUAUCAUACAUAAAUCUUAAAAUUGAUAGGCAAUGAUAAUAGUUCGCAAGAUUUUAUUCAACUGCAACAUAAUCUAAACUUUGAUUUUUAUAUAAGAAAGCCCAUCUGGUCGUGGUCUAAUGAUUCAGGUGAUUCUGAACUAUGGAUUCACCUUCCUUUGUAUAUGACCUUCAGUAUAAAUUAACUAACUAAGUAAAUAACGAGAAACUAAUAUGGAUUUACCUUAAAGAGUACGUAUGUGGGUCUUAAGGGAUAUUCUUUUUUAAAUAAGGACUGAAGACUAACUGCCAUUUGGCAACCUUAUCAACAAAUACCAACAUAGAUUCAAAUGUGGUACCCAUUCUAAUUAAUAAAUAAAUAUGAACUUAAAAUAGAUAUAAGUCCAAUUUACUUUUCUUUUCAGUACUUGAUUUCCCAAUAAUCUAGUGUCUAAUUAUGCAUAAAUACUUAGGAUAAUAAAUUAUUAAUAGCUACUUAAAAGAAUUCUAUAUGUUUGAACACUUUAAUUAACCAACUGAACAGUUAAUCUCAUUUACAUGAACUACUGGAUUUAACAUAAUAAUUUAGUAUAGUUAAGUAAAUUAUGGACCCAUUCAGUAAAUCAAUCCAUCACUUAACUAACUAAUAAGGCCAACAAUAAUCUAUUAUACUUAAGCUUAUUAGGAAAUGAAUGGGCUCAUGAGAAAUUGUUAGGUCCAAAUACUAAAUUAAGCCCAAUUGCCCAUUUUCUAUUUUAAUAAAUUAAAGUUAUGUUAAAAUCCAGAAUUUUCUUUUAAACUAAUUAUCUCUCCCCUUCUUUCAUUUUUUUGUUCUUACGCAGGUAUGCUUUCCCCCUCUCUCUCCCUACCGUCUCUCUCUCUUCCCUAUACUCCGGCUAGUGUCGCCGGCCCUCGCUGCCUCCGGCGCGGCGAGGCCGGCCUCUUCUCUUCCCCCUCCUUCUUUCCUCUUUUCCCUAUAACUAAAUCCCCAAAUCAUAAAAUCUAAUUCCUAGGGUUUCUACCUCCCUUAUUCCCCUCUGGAAUUAAUCUCACCGGCGAAGCCUGCCGCCACCGCCGUCGUCCUCGUCGCACCGCCGCCACCGCCGUCGUCCUCAGGAAUCGACCGGCGUCGUCGUUGCUUGAGACGUCUCCGGCGCAACAGUCCUUUAUCAGCUCAAGAUCCUAUUUUUAUGAUUGUUUUCCUUUUUAUUGCUUAUUGAGAAACAACUGUAUUCGUGAGAUUAGAAUUAGAGAUAUGUAACUAUUGUUCAUCUUUGCUGUCGAUUACUGUUUUAGCAAUGAGAUAAUUGUACUGAAUUAAAGAAAACUACCUUCUCUGA